UGAGAACAGCCAUCUCUCUUCGGAACAUAAAGCCGCGGAUCUGUUCGGAAUGUAAAGCCGCGGGUGUGAUUACUGUGGGUUUAUGAAUUCCGUUGUGUCUGAAUAAGGAUUUGAGAAGAAAAGAGUCGGUUACAUUGACGAAAACAAAAGGGCGAGCGCUUUCCCGCACGCCUUGAAAUAUUUUGUUUCACAUGCUGAGUUCCUCCAGCAGAUUGUUUGCUGCACCUUUGCUUGUCGACUUUUGGACAAAAAGGUUAAAACGGCUAUUGUAAAAGAAACCUGAUGCGAUGGAAGAAUUGUCCCUGUUUUCGUGGCAAUUAUUUUUUAUUCUCAAACCAAAACUAAUUAAAAUAUUUCAUCA